UGGGAGACCAUUUCUGGCUUCUGGGAGACGGGGUCCUCUGACCAGGUUUCUCACCUCUGGGCGUCUGGCUACAGGUGGUCUAUCCAUGGCUACACAGGGGUCUAUCCACAGCUACACUGGGCUAUAGGGCUCUAUCCUGGGCCACAGGUCUCUAUCCUGGGCUAGACGUCUCUAUCCUGAACUUACUCUCCGCCUGGUCUCGUAGACUUGCUCCAUCUAGGAGGCGGACUCCCCCUUCAAA